GUGCUUGCUUCAGCAGCACAUAUACUAAAAUUGGAAUGAUACAGAGAAGAUUGGUGUGGCCCUGCUUAAGGAUGACACACAAAUUCAUGAAAUGCUCCAUAUUAAA
ensembl:snRNA U6 U6 spliceosomal RNA